GAUGAACGCUGGCGGCGUGCCUAAUACAUGCAAGUCGAGCGAACGGACGAGAAGCUUGCUUCUCUGAUGUUAGCGGCGGACGGGUGAGUAACACGUGGAUAACCUACCUAUAAGACUGGGAUAACUUCGGGAAACCGGAGCUAAUACCGGAUAAUAUUUUGAACCGCAGGGUUCAAAAGUGAAAGACGGUCUUGCUGUCACUUAUAGAUGGAUCCGCGCUGCAUUAGCUAGUUGGUAAGGUAACGGCUUACCAAGGCAACGAUGCAUAGCCGACCUGAGAGGGUGAUCGGCCACACUGGAACUGAGACACGGUCCAGACUCCUACGGGAGGCCGCAGUAGGGAAUCUUCCGCAAUGGGCGAAAGCCUGACGGAGCAACGCCGCGUGAGUGAUGAAGGUCUUCGGAUCGUAAAACUCUGUUAUUAGGGAAGAACAUAUGUGUAAGUAACUGUGCACAUCUUGACGGUACCUAAUCAGAAAGCCACGGCUAACUACGUG
rnacentral:rRNA from 1 species